UGCCCGCGCGCGCACACACUCGGGCCCCCCGCGGCCGGACCCACGGGGGCGGUGCACGAACCCCGCGGCCGGAGGGGGCCCCGCCUCUAGGCGGGCCAGGCGCCGGCAGAGGGGGAGCGCACCCCGACUUCCCUGGAUCACAUGGGCUACGGGGGGCGGGUGGAUCGGGGGAGGGGGAGGCGCGGGGAGCUCGCCGCCGCUCCUCGCUCGGGCAGGGGAGAAGACGCCCCCCACCCCCUCUAGUUCGGCCUCUCCAUUCAAGUUCGCCGGCCCCGGCCGCCGGGAUCCGGGGAUGGCACUAGCCGCCCGCCCAGCUCUGCGCCCUUUUUUUCCAGCCGCCGCGCAGAAAUUUAGGUCAAGGACGUCGGGAUCAAACCCAAACCCUGGCGCUCCUCGGCGGGCCCCGAGACCCCCCAGGAUCGGGGAGCUUCAGGAUUGCGGAGACCCUCCCGCACAAACAGCAGCCACAAGUUUUAUUUUCCUUUGGCGCUGGAAGUUCUCUCUGGCUCUCGCUCCACACCGGCACGUCUUGCGCCGCUCCCCGCCCUUCCCCGGCAGAGGAUUAGGACACAAUGGAAUACACUCAACACCAAACUAUACCAAAUCCACUGUGGGUCGUGGCAAAGUGGAAUAUUUGGAAAAUCCCAACACUAGCCAAAGCCUUGAAUGACCAGAUUCUUAAUCUCCCUGCCUCCUAAAUUUGGGAUAAUUCCUCACUGACAGGAUUGAUGGAGUGAAAGGAGAGAUUGAAGUCUGAAGCAAAUCUCAGAGAAGAUAAAUUAACACUAAGAGAGAAAGCCAUGGAUUACCUUGAUGCUUUCACAGACCAACGCAGUCAUCCUUCACAGGGGAGAUGGGGAAUGAGGUGUGGGUGUACCCAAUGUCAUGAAAGAUUAUCACAAAAGACCAGAUCUCAGGGAUGACAAUCACAACAACAAGAGUAAUUUAGGUUCUGGGAUACAUUUCAUCAUAGGUUUAUGAAGCCCUUGACAGCAAAAUUAAAUCUGACAUCACUCUUGGGGUUGAUAAACACUGUUGCAGUGUCCCGAUAAAGUGAGCUCAGACACUUGAGGGCUCUCUCCCCCUGAGGGUUAGAAUCACCUUCUUCCCUUCCACAAAUGUACUUCAGUCACCUCCGAAAGUGACUGAGCCUCUAGAAGACCCUUGUCAUGAGUGGCUAAUGCAGCCCUUGGAGAAAAUGGAGUUACUUACAAGAGUUCAGUCAAGCCAUGGGCUCAAAUCUAUCCUUGGGUUUAACUCCUUGACCUUUCCUCUUUAUCCUCCUCUCCAACCAGGUUCAGAAAGAACUUUACCCUCCUACCUUCCAUCUUAAGGGCAGACUUCCGAAUCAGCAAAUUUGACAUUAAGAUCAUCACAAAAAAUCAUAUAUUUUUCUCUCUGUGGGCGAGGACAAUUCGCCACUUUCAGGCAGCAUAGGAAUAAGAGCAUUAUCAUUCAGGACAGACACGAGCAGUAUGUAAAUAACCACAAUGUUUAGCACCCUGGCCCAUGGGCAGUUCACCUUCUUCCACAAUUAAAAGUGACCACGACACUCAGUGUUUGUCCCACUGAGCAAGGUGAGGUCAUACUUCCCUCCCAGAGAUGGAGACAAAAAAAAAAUGUUCUAUCUCCUUGAUAAAUGUGAAGCUGUAAUAAAACAGAAUUUAGGUCUUUGGUGAAUAAUUCAUGUUUAUCUAAAAGAAAAAAUAAUGACUUUCAUUAUAUUUCAUCUCUUACUGAGUUCCAGAAACUGAUUUCCUGGUCCAGAGGUUCCAGAAAUCCACUGCAGGUUUACCUGAUGAUUUUCCCUUGAGGGUUCCUCCCAUCACCUCCACUUACUUCACUAAAUUCCCUUUGGCCUCCCAGGGUUACAGGGAUGAGAGGCUGAAAGAUCAAGGGCAAGAAAGUUCUAUAUGACAGUGGUGCCACUGGGGCGGAUGCCUAGGGCUGGCAAUUCUUCCAUGGGCUUCCAUGGGGUUCUCCAGGUUCCCCUACAACUGAAUCCUUUGGCCCAGCUAGAAUGUCUUUUUAGGCUAACUGCUCAUGUACCUCCUUAGGUGGGUACCUAACAGUAUUCCUUCUACCUUACUUUUUUUUUUUUAAGUAAAGAUUAUAUUUUUAAGUAAUAUCUACACCCCAUGUGGGGCUUGGACUCACAACCCUAAGAUCAAGAGUCACCUGGUUGGUAGACCAACCAAGCCUGCUAGGUGUCCCCCAACUUGUCAAUAUCUACAAAAAGAAUUUCCUGGAUUUUGAUUGGGAUUGCAUUGAAUCAAUAGAUUAAUUGGGGAAGAACUGCCAUCUUAAUACUGAGUGUUCUAAUCCAUGAGCCAUCCAUUUAUUAGGUCUUCUUUUUUAUUUCAUGAGUGUUUAGUAGUUUUCAGCAUAUAGAUCUUGUACAAAUUUUAUUGGAUUUAUAAUUAAAGAUUUUGUGGUUUGGGAUGCUAUCAGAAAUAGUAUUUAAAAUCCAUAAAUUUCCAACUGUUAAUUGCUAGUGUAUAGGAAUACAAUUGAUCUUUGGGUUUUAAUCUUUACCUUGUAAUCUUACUAAACUCAUUAUUAGCUCUUGUAGCUUAUUUUGCAGAUUCUUUGAGAUCAUCUAUGUAUAUAAUUAUGUCAUCUUUGAAUAAAGACAG